AUUUCAAGGUUGUAAUAACUCUUGUAAGACCUCAGUGAUAUUUGUCAAGAGUUAUUGCCCCCUGUGAUUUUGAGAUAUACAUGUAUAUACAAUACAGUUAGAAUUUGAAUAAAUAUAAUAUCCUUACCUGAAUAUCAAGAAAAGGUUAGGGUCUGCUGUAUCCCUGUAAAACAUAGAGGAUAUUGAAUGAGUGAAUGUUUAAUACGAUAUUUAUUGAACGAGUUAAAGGGACUCCACUGAGGUUUUUUGACAUGACGGGACUGAAAAUAUUUUUUCCAGAUAAAUGUUCCAUUUGAUGAAGGUUUAGACCACUAAUCUUUGCGCAAAAUUUCAGAUCAUUCGCGCACUUUGUUUUUCCACAAUAAUUAUUCAAAUGGUAAAAAAAUGACCCAAAAUGAGAAGCGUUUAAACGCUUUUCGCUCAAAUCGGGCUAAGAGAAGCAUAAAAAUACGAUUUUCAAUUUAUUUCAAAGUAUAUUCCUUAACUAUCUUUGCAUAUAUUUUUGUUUAAAGUGGCCCAGCUCAUUUAUGUAAGAAAUUCAAAUGUUAGGUUUUUAGGCUUUUAAACCUCAGUGGAGUCCCUUUAAAUAAAAUCAUAUUAUGCGAGCGUUUUGCGAGCAUAGUAUUGUUUUAUUCAAAAAGGCUCGCAUAAUGUUGUUUUAUUCAUUAAGUUCAAUAAAUUUAGUAUUGAAUCUACAUGAAUAUAAUAUUAUUUUUAUCACAUAUCUAAAAUGAGAACAGUAAACUGUUAAAGAGUCAUUUUUAGCUCAACUUUUUUUGAAAAAAAAGUAGAGGUAUUGUUAUAGUCCUGGCAGCGUUGCUGUGGCCGUACCCGUUGCCGUCCGCAAACUUGUACCUGGAUCAUUACUUUUUUAGUUCUUGGUGUAUUGUCUUCAUACUUGGCCACAACAACCCUUGGGGCAAGACCUUUCAGUAGACCACACUAACCUUGACCUUCAUCCAUAAAUGACUUUGACCUUCAAGGUCAAAAGUUCAAAUUUUGCUUGUUCUAGCUAUUAUUGGCUGUAACUUUUGUUAUUUUUGAAUGGAUUGUCUUCAAACUUGAACAUAAUAAUCUUCAAGGAUAUCUCUUAAAAAUAACCAGACAGACCUUGACCUUCACUCAUAAAUGACUAUGACUUUCAAGGUCAAAUCAUUGAAAUUCUCAUUUUUUAGCUUUUUUUUUUUUUUUUUUUUUUUUUUGAAAAAAAAAGUAGAGGUAUUGUUAUAGUCGCGGCGCCGUUGCCGUCCGCAAACUUGUACCUGGAUCAUAACUUUUUUAUUUCUUGGUGUAUUGUCUUCAUACUUGGCCACAACAACCCUUGGGACAAGACCUUUCAGUAGACCACACUAACCUUGACCUUCAUCCAUAAAUGACCUUGACCUUCAAGGUUAAAUGUCCAAAUUUUGCUUGUUCAUGCUGUUAUUGGCUGUAACUUUGUUAUUUUUGAAUGGAUUGUCUUCAAACUUGAACAUAAUAAUGUUCAAGGAUAUCCCUUAAAAAAAACCAGACAGACCUUGACCUUCACUCAUAAAUGACUUUGACUUUGAAGGUCAAAUUAUUGAAAUUUUCAUUUUUUUUGGCUAUUAUUGGCUGUAACUUUGUUAUUUAUGAAUGGAUUGUCUUCAAACUUGAACAUAAUAAUCUUCAGGGAUAUCCCUUAAAAAUAACCAGACAGACCUUGACCUUCACUCAUAAAUGACCUUGACUUUGAAGGUCAAAUUAUUGAAAUAUUCAUUUUUUUGGCUAUUAUUGGUUGUUAUUUUUGAAUGGAUUGUCUUAAAACUUGAACAUAAUAAUCUUCAAGGAUAACUCUUAAAAAUAACCUGACAGACCUUGACCUUCACUCAUUAAUGACGUUGUCUUUGAAAUAAUUGAAAUAUUAUUGAAAUUUCAUUUUUUUGGCUAUUAUUGGUUGUUAUUUUUGAAUGGAUUGUCUUAAAACUUGAACAUAAUAAUCUUCAAGGAUAACUCUUAAAAAUAACCUGACAGACCUUGACCUUCACUCAUUAAUGACAUUGUCUUUGAAGGUCAAAUUAUUGAAAUUUUCAUUGUUAUGGCUGUAACUGACUGUAACUUUGCUAUUAUUGAAGGGAUCAACUUCAUAUUAUAACAGAACAUUCUUAAGGACCAGACCUUGUUGUUUAUCAAACCCAAAUUUGCUUGGGUUCUUUAAUGACCUUGACCUUGAAGGUUAAAUUACUGAAUUUUCUCAGAUUUGUGCAUUAAAUGACCAUAAUUAUAUAUUUAUUGGUGUGUGUGUGUGUGUAUAUAUAUAUAUAUAUAUAUAUAUAUACAAAAAAUGAAAACAAGUGCCGGAAAAAAGUCACAUAUAAAUAAAACAAAUAACACAGUCCAUGAGUUAACUUAUUUAAUUAUUUGCCAACCGGUUUCUCUUAUGAUCAUCAGGGCAAAUGUGACGUCGUCGCAUAGUAACGACGUUUUUGUGUACACAUGUGUACGCAUAAUCUAAAAAUAGUAACGUCAUAAUAUAGUAUUUAGUUUUGGAUUAAAAACAUCAAUAAAAUAGCGUUCUUUACAUAACCUAGCUGAAACGUUUUUACUGUGAAAUUUAUAAAAUGGGAAAAUACCAAAUUUCGGGUCUUUUUUAGAGCAUUUAUCUAAAUGUUCACUUAAAGUUGCACAUAUGAAUAUGAGGGCGUACGGUGCCAGCAGUUGAAUAUUGAAGUUAUUGUUCCAAGUACAGAACGUGACCAAUUUGCCAAGGCAGGAAUAGCAGCUAGUAUUGCAGUUCUCAUUGUCAUAGUGAUUG